rnacentral:rRNA from 1 species
AGUGAACGCUGGCGGUAGGCCUAACACAUGCAAGUCGAACGGCAGCACAGUAAGAGCUUGCUCUUACGGGUGGCGAGUGGCGGACGGGUGAGGAAUACAUCGGAAUCUACUUUUUCGCGGGGGAUAACGUAGGGAAACUUACGCUAAUACCGCAUACGACCUACGGGUGAAAGCAGGGGAUCUUCGGACCUUGCGCGAUUGAAUGAGCCGAUGUCGGUUUAGCUAGUUGGCGGGGUAAAGGCCCACCCAGGCGACGAACCGUAGCUGGUCUGUGAGGAUGAUCAGCCACACUGGAACUGAGACACGGUCCAGACUCCUACGGGAGGCAGCAGUGGGGAAUAUUGGACAAGGGGCGCAAGCCUGAUCCAGCCAUACCGCGUGGGGGAAGAAGGCCUUCGGGUUGUAAAGCCCUUUUGUUGGGAAAGAAAAGCAGCAGGUGAAUACCCCGCUGUUCUGACGGUACCCAAAGAAUAAGCACCGGCUAACUUCGUG